rnacentral:tRNA from 1 species
GUGUAGCUCCAUGGUAGAGCCCUUGCCUCGGAAGCAGGAAGUCCUGGGAUUGAUCCCCAGCAC